UUUUGACAAUGGAUCUCUUGGUUCUCGCAACGAUGAAGAACGCAGCAAAAUGCGAUAAGUAAUGUGAAUUGCAGAAUACGUGAAUCAUCAAAUCUUCGAACGCAUAUUGCACUUUUCUAGUUUACUAGAAAAGUAUGUCUGUUUGAGUAUCAGUAAAAUAUUCUCAUAAAAAACAUUGUUUUUUU
rnacentral:rRNA from 1 species